UCUCCUGGGAAACGGGUGGUAAUGCCGGAUGUUCCAGUUGAUCGCAUGGUCUUCUGGGAAAGCUUUCGCGGUAUGGGAUGGGGUCGCGUCCUAUCAGCUUGACGGCGGGGUAACGGCCCACCGUGGCUUCGACGGGUAGCCGGCCUGAGAGGGCGACCGGCCACAUUGGGACUGAGAUACGGCCCAGACUCCUACGGGAGGCAGCAGUGGGGAAUAUUGCACAAUGGGCGCAAGCCUGAUGCAGCGACGCCGCGUGAGGGAUGGAGGCCUUCGGGUUGUAAACCUCUUUUAUCGGGGAGCAAGCGUGAGUGAGUUUACCCGUUGAAUAAGCACCGGCUAACUACGUGCCAGCAGCCGCGGUAAUACGUAGGGUGCAAGCGUUAUCCGGAAUUAUUGGGCGUAAAGGGCUCGUAGGCGGUUCGUCGCGUCCGGUGUGAAAGUCCAUCGCUUAACGGUGGAUCCGCGCCGGGUACGGGCGGGCUUGAGUGCGGUAGGGGAGACUGGAAUUCCCGGUGUAACGGUGGAAUGUGUAGAUAUCGGAAAGAACACCA
rnacentral:rRNA from 1 species